rnacentral:rRNA from 1 species
CCUACGGGAGGCAGCAGUGAGGAAUAUUGGUCAAUGGACGAGAGUCUGAACCAGCCAAGUAGCGUGAAGGAUGACUGCCCUAUGGGUUGUAAACUUCUUUUAUAUGGGAAUAAAAUGUUCCACGUGUGGGAUUUUGUAUGUACCAUAUGAAUAAGGAUCGGCUAACUCCGUGCCAGCAGCCGCGGUAAUACGGAGGAUCCGAGCGUUAUCCGGAUUUAUUGGGUUUAAGGGGAGCGUAGGUGGAUUGUUAAGUCAGUUGUGAAAGUUUGCGGCUAAAGCGUAAAAUUGCAGUUGAAACUGGCAGUCUUGAGUACAGUAGAGGUGGGCGGAAUGCGUGGUGUAGCGGUGAAAUGCUUAGAUAUCACGAAGAACUCCGAUUGCGAAGGCAGUUCACUGGACUGCAACUGACACUGAGGCUCGAAAGUGUGGGUAUCAAACAGGAUUAGAUACCCUGGUAGUC